UUACCCCUACGGGGGGCAGCAGUGGGGGAUAUUGGACAAUGGGGGAAACCCUGAUCCAGCGACGCCGCGUGAGUGAAGAAGUAUUUCGGUAUGUAAAGCUCUAUCAGCAGGGAAGAAAGAAAUGACGGUACCUGAGUAAGAAGCCCCGGCUAACUACGUGCCAGCUGCCACGGUAAUACGUAGGGGGCAAGCGUUAUCCGGAAUUACUGGGUGUAAAGGGAGCGUAGACGGUUAAGCAAGUCUGGUGUGAAAGGCGGGGGGCCAACCCCCGGACUGCUCUGGAAACUGUGUAACUAG
rnacentral:rRNA from 1 species